rnacentral:tRNA from 1 species
GCCUGGGUGGCUCAGUUGGUUAAGCAUCUGCCUUCAGCUCAGGGGUCUUGGGAUCAAGUCCCACAUUGGGCU